rnacentral:rRNA from 1 species
UACGUAGGGUGCAGGCGUUAAUCGGAAUUACUGGGCGUAAAGCGUGCGCAGGCGGUUUCUUAAGUCAGAUGUGAAAGCCCCGGGCUUAACCUGGGAACUGCGUCUGAAACUACUCGGCUAGAGUAUUGGAGAGGGUAACGGAAUUCACGGUGUAGCAGUGAAAUGCGUAGAUAUCGUGAGGAACACCAGAGGCGAAGGCGGUUACCUGGACAAUUACUGACGCUCAGGCACGAAAGCAUGGGGAGCAAAAGGG